GUCCUUCCCCCAUCCUCGGUCGCCAGCGCUUCUCCGGCAGCCUCGUCCUGAAAUCGUGCGAUUGUGAGCUAGAAGCCUUCUGGGUCACUCAUAAACCAAAGAGAAAAUAAGGUGCACUCGAGUUUCCCGUCUAAAUAUUUUCCCUGGAGAUGGAAAGGUGCGCUGGCGGCCGGGGAGCCGCGACCUGGGGCGCGCUGGGCCUCGCAGAGCAGCCGCGGACCCCGGCGAUCGUGCCGUGUUCGUCUCCUUUGUGUUUCUUUAUUGAGUCCCUACUACCUCUACGGAUAUUCUGGGGGCAAUUAAAGAAAAUCACCGCUUCAUAGGCAGCACAUAUUUCCCAUAGAAAUGUGGAAUGUAAGAAAGGCACAUAAAGCAAUCCAAGUUGCCUGCAGAUAUCCACAGCCUACUUCAGUCUCAGUAAUGCUCUUUUAACCUGGCUAUAUGGAGAGUUGACAGAAAAUACAGGAUCAUCAAUCAAUGAUACAGUAAAUACA
rnacentral:lncRNA from 1 species